UACAGAGGUCCCAAGCGUUGUUCGGAUUCACUGGGCGUAAAGGGUGCGUAGGUGGCCAGGUAAGUUUGGUGUGAAAGCUCGGAGCUUAACUCCGAAAAGUCAUUGAAUACUAUCUGGCUGGAGGGUCGGAGGGGAGACUGGAAUUCCCGGUGUAGCAGUGAAAUGCGUAGAUAUCGAGAGGAACACCAGUGGCGAAGGCGAGUCUCUGGACGACUCCUGACACUGAGGCACGAAAGCGUGGGGAGCGAACAGG
rnacentral:rRNA from 1 species